rnacentral:rRNA from 1 species
AACGAACGCUGGCGGCAGGCCUAACACAUGCAAGUCGAGCGAGACCUUCGGGUCUAGCGGCGGACGGGUUAGUAACGCGUGGGAACGUGCCCUUCUCUGCGGAAUAGCCACUGGAAACGGUGAGUAAUACCGCAUACGCCCUUCGGGGGAAAGAUUUAUCGGAGAAGGAUCGGCCCGCGUUAGAUUAGAUAGUUGGUGGGGUAACGGCCUACCAAGUCUACGAUCUAUAGCUGGUUUUAGAGGAUGAUCAGCAACACUGGGACUGAGACACGGCCCAGACUCCUACGGGAGGCAGCAGUGGGGAAUCUUAGACAAUGGGCGCAAGCCUGAUCUAGCCAUGCCGCGUGCGUGAUGAAGGUCUUAGGAUCGUAAAGCACUUUCGCCAGGGAUGAUAAUGACAGUACCUGGUAAAGAAGUCCCGGCUAACUCCGUG